rnacentral:rRNA from 1 species
GACGAACGCUGGCGGCGUGCUUAACACAUGCAAGUCGAACGGUGAAGGGACCAGCUUGCUGGUUCUGGAUGAGUGGCGAACGGGUGAGUAACACGUGAGUAACCUGCCCCCUUCUUCUGGAUAACCGCAUGAAAGUGUGGCUAAUACGGGAUAUUCUGGGUCUGUCGCAUGGCGGGCCCGGGAAAGAUAUUGCUUCGGUGGGGGAUGGGCUCGCGGCCUAUCAGCUUGUUGGUGGGGUGAUGGCCUACCAAGGCGGUGACGGGUAGCCGGCCUGAGAGGGUGGACGGUCACACGGGGACUGGGACACGGCCCAGACUCCUACGGGAGGCAGCAGUGGGGAAUAUUGCACAAUGGGCGCAAGCCUGAUGCAGCGACGCCGCGUGAGGGAUGGAGGCCUUCGGGUUGUAAACCUCUUUCGCCAGUGAAGCAGGCCUGCUCCUUGUGGGUGGGUUGACGGUAGCUGGAUAAGAAGCGCCGGCUAACUACGUG